UGCAAGUCGAGCGGCAGCACGGGGAGCUUGCUCCCUGGUGGCGAGCGGCGGACGGGUGAGUAAUGCAUAGGAAUCUGCCCGAUAGUGGGGGAUAACGUGGGGAAACCCACGCUAAUACCGCAUACGUCCUACGGGAGAAAGCGGAGGAUCUUCGGACUUCGCGCUAUCGGAUGAGCCUAUGUCGGAUUAGCUAGUUGGUAAGGUAAUGGCUUACCAAGGCGACGAUCCGUAGCUGGUCUGAGAGGAUGAUCAGCCACACUGGGACUGAGACACGGCCCAGACUCCUACGGGAGGCAGCAGUGGGGAAUAUUGGACAAUGGGCGAAAGCCUGAUCCAGCCAUGCCGCGUGUGUGAAGAAGGCUUUCGGGUUGUAAAGCACUUUCAGCGAGGAAGAAAGCCUCUGGGUUAAUACCCUGGAGGAAGGACAUCACUCGCAGAAGAAGCACCGGCUAACUCCGUGCCAGCAGCCGCGGUAAUACGGAGGGUGCGAGCGUUAAUCGGAAUUACUGGGCGUAAAGCGCGCGUAGGUGGCUUGGCACGCCGGUUGUGAAAGCCCCGGGCUCAACCUGGGAACGGCAUCCGGAACGGCCAGGCUAGAGUGCAGGAGAGGAAGGUAGAAUUCCCGGUGUAGCGGUGAAAUGCGUAGAGAUCGGGAGGAAUACCAGUGGCGAAGGCGGCCUUCUGGCCUGACACUGACACUGAGGUGCGAAAGCGUGGGUAGCAAACAGGAUUAGAUACCCUGGUAGUCCACGC
rnacentral:rRNA from 1 species